CCAUCUUUGAUUUAUCAAAUAGCCGAGGCAACAAGUGUCGAGAGUCGAGCAAAGUAUAUAACUAUUACAAAGCCGGGGCUUGCUCAAAAUCACAUGGGAGUAAGCUGCUUCAGUCCUGUCAUUAACAUUGUCAGGGACCCCCUGGUGGGGAAGAAAUCAGGAGACAUACGGGGAAGACCCUUUCCAAAGCGGUGUUCUUGCAGCCAGCUUCGUCCGAGGACUGGGGGCAACGACACUCGAUAUGUGCGCGCCAACGCCGGAUGUAAACACUUCGCGGCCUAUGAUGGCCCAGAAUAUACCAAUGUUGAGAUUUCAAUUUGAUGCCAUGGUCAGCGAACGUGACCUUCGAACGACCUUCACUCCCUUAUGCAUUCAGGGCCUGUGUCAAGGCUGGAACAUACAGUUUCAUGUGCGGCUACAAUAGCGAACGGCGUCCCGACGUGUGCCAGUAAGCAACUUCUCACCGACAUUCUCAGAGGAGAGUGGGGUUUUACAGGAUACGUCGUGAGCGACGGGGGCACUAUAAGGAACGUUAAAUCCGGUCACCACUACGCCAACACCUCCGUGGACAUCGUGUCCGACUGCGUGAACGCAGGAUGCAACUUGGAACUAUCUGCACAUGAGAACAAUCUGCAAUACUAUCAUGUAUCCGAGGCCAUACAGCAAGGGGCAAGCUUACAGAGGAAACAGUCAGAAAGUCUCAAACCCUUGUUCUGCACACUCGAAUGAGGUUGGGCGGUUCGAUCCCAGAUAUGAACCCAUAUUCCAAACUUGACAUCUCUGUGAUUGAAAGCAGGGCUCCGCAGAUAGCGCACGUCAGAGGCAGCCAUGAAGACCUUUGUGUUGCUGAAGAACAUGGGCAACAUCUUGCCCUAAAGAGCGACACUUUUGACACGAUUGCAGUUGUUGGAUUCCAUGGCCAAUGAUACAUCUAAUUUGUUUAAGGACUAUGCGCCUGCGACGCCUCGAUAACUUCGCCAUACAAGCUGCCCUGCAAAGUCAGAGAAAAGCUGGCUAAGUCUGUCAACUACGCAGCCGGAUGUAACGACAACUUCUGUAAAACGUUGCAGGCGAUUGUGGCUGUGAAGAAAGCAGUCCUCGUGACAGAGAUUAUAUUUGUGUGUCUUGG